rnacentral:rRNA from 1 species
UUGGAAAGACCCACCACAGAAGGUAAUAGUCCUGUAUGUUAAACGAGAAGACUUCAGAUAUGAUCCAGAGUACCACGGGACACGUGAAACCCUGUGGGAAGCAGGAGGGACCACCCUCCAAGGCUAAAUACUACCUAGUGACCGAUAGCGUAUAGUACCGUGAGGGAAAGGUGAAAAGAACCCCGGGAGGGGAGUGAAAUAGAACCUGAAACCCUGCACUUACAAGCUGUGGAAGCACAUUUCUUGUGUGACCGCGUACUUUUUGUAGAACGGGCCAACGAGUUACGUUAAGUAGCAAGGUUAAGCACUUAAGGUGCGGAGCCGUAGCGAAAGCGAGUUUUAACUGAGCGUUCAGUUACUUGACGUAGACCCGAAACCGGGCGACCUACCCAUGAGCAGGAUGAAGCGAAAGUAAAAUUUCGUGGAGGUCCGAACCCACGAGCGUUGAAAAGCUCGGGGAUGACUUGUGGGUAGCGGUGAAAUUCCAAUCGAGCCCGGAGAUAGCUGGUUCUCCCCGAAAUAGCUUUAGGGCUAGCCUCAAGGUGAGAGAUACGGAGGUAGAGCACUGAAUGUCCUAGGGGGUAUUGCACCUACCGAAGACUAUCAAACUCCGAAUGCCGUCAUCUUAUACUUGGGAGUCAGACUGUGGGUGAUAAGAUUCAUAGUCGAAAGGGCAACAGCCCAGAUCGUCAGCUAAGGUCCCUAAAUGUAAGUUAAGUGGUAAAGGAUGUGGGAUUGCACAGACAACCAGGAUGUUGGCUUAGAAGCAGCCACUCAUUCAAAGAGUGCGUAAUAGCUCACUGGUCGAGUGAUCCUGCGCCGAAGAUUUCCGGGGCUAAAACUUACUACCGAAGCUACGGCAUCAGUAAUGAUGGGUAGGGGAGCUUCCCAUACGGGUUGAAGCAUGACCGUAAGGACAUGUGGACAGUAUGGGAGUGAGAAUGUUGGCAUGAGUAGCGAGAUGUGGGUGAGAAUCCCACAGGCCGUAAACCCAAGGUUUCCAGGGGAAGGUUCGUCCGCCCUGGGUUAGUCGGGACCUAAGCUGAGGCCGAAAGGCGUAGGUGAUGGACAACAGGUUGAUAUUCCUGUACUACCGAUAACC